UCCCCAGUGGCUCAGUUGGUAAAGAAUCUGUCUGCAAUGCAGGAGAUCCAGGUUCGAUCCCUGGGUAGGGAA
rnacentral:tRNA from 1 species